rnacentral:misc_RNA from 1 species
AAAAUCUCCCGGAAACGGGAACACUCCCGCAGCUCUUGGGCUGCGGACAGUGACCACCCUUUGUGAACUUUACCAUAUGCUUCGGCAGCGCCGCUUCUGCGGGUAAGGCUGCCAGAAGCCCACACAACUAGUAGAUGUAUUAUCAUGCCGUCUGACUACCUCUGGGAAACCAGAAAAAUAUAAAUUA